rnacentral:rRNA from 1 species
GUGGGGAAUAUUGCACAAUGGGCGAAAGCCUGAUGCAGCAACGCCGCGUGAGCGAUGAAGGCCUUCGGGUCGUAAAGCUCUGUCCUCAAGGAAGAUAAUGACGGUACUUGAGGAGGAAGCCCCGGCUAACUACGUGCCAGCAGCCGCGGUAAUACGUAGGGGGCUAGCGUUAUCCGGAAUUACUGGGCGUAAAGGGUGCGUAGGUGGUUUCUUAAGUCAGAGGUGAAAGGCUACGGCUCAACCGUAGUAAGCCUUUGAAACUGGGAAACUUGAGUGCAGGAGAGGAGAGUGGAAUUCCUAGUGUAGCGGUGAAAUGCGUAGAUAUUAGGAGGAACACCAGUUGCGAAGGCGGCUCUCUGGACUGUAACUGACACUGAGGCACGAAAGCGUGGGGAGCAAACAGGAUUAGAUACCCUUGUAGUCC